rnacentral:lncRNA from 1 species
UUUGGCGCAAAGAAUAUCUAGGACCACAUCAUCUUGUAUUUGCACCGGUCCUUCAAAUCAAUCAAGAAAACAUAAACCUUUCUUCUCACUGCCUAGUACUACUACAAAGGGGCUGUUUGGAUAUGAGGUGCUAAACUUUAACAGUGUCACAUCGGAUGUUCGGAUGCUAAUUAGGAGGACUAAAUAUGAGCUAAUUAUAAAACUAAUUGCAGAACCUUG